rnacentral:rRNA from 1 species
CUACGGGAGGCUGCAGUGGGGAAUAUUGCACAAUGGGCGCAAGCCUGAUGCAGCCAUGCCGCGUGUGUGAAGAAGGCCUUCGGGUUGUAAAGCACUUUCAGCGGGGAGGAAGGCGGUGAGGUUAAUAACCUCAUCGAUUGACGUUACCCGCAGAAGAAGCACCGGCUAACUCCGUGCCAGCAGCCGCGGUAAUACGGAGGGUGCAAGCGUUAAUCGGAAUUACUGGGCGUAAAGCGCACGCAGGCGGUCUGUCAAGUCGGAUGUGAAAUCCCCGGGCUCAACCUGGGAACUGCAUUCGAAACUGGCAGGCUAGAGUCGUGUAGAGGGGGGUAGAAUGCCAGGUGUAGCGGUGAAAUGCGUAGAGAUCUGGAGGAAUACCGGUGGCGAAGGCGGCCCCCUGGACAAAGACUGACGCUCAGGUGCGAAAGCGUGGGGAGCAAGCAGGAUUAGAUACCCCGGUAGUC